AAGAUAUUAGUAAAAUUAUUACACUGCCUUGUCGGGGCAGAGUUGUGAGCUCAAACCUUACAUAUCUUA
rnacentral:tRNA from 1 species